GAUGAACGCUGGCGGCGUGCCUAAUACAUGCAAGUCGAGCGAACAGACGAGGAGCUUGCUCCUCUGACGUUAGCGGCGGACGGGUUAGUAACACGUUGAUAACCUACCUAUAAGACUGGGAUAACUUCGGGAAACCGGAGCUAAUACCGGAUAAUAUAUUUAACCGCAUGGUUCAAUAUUGAAAGACGGUUUUGCUGUCACUUAUAGAUGGAUCCGCGCCGCAUUAGCUAGUUGGUAAGGUAACGGCUUACCAAGGCGACGAUGCGUAGCCGACCUGAGAGGGUGAUCGGCCACACUGGAACUGAGACACGGUCCAGACUCCUACGGGAGGCAGCAGUAGGGAAUCUUCCGCAAUGGGCGAAAGCCUGACGGAGCAACGCCGCGUGAGUGAUGAAGGUCUUCGGAUCGUAAAACUCUGUUAUUAGGGAAGAACAAAUGUGUAAGUAACUAUGCACGUCUUGACGGUACCUAAUCAGAAAGCCACGGCUAACUACGUG
rnacentral:rRNA from 1 species